rnacentral:rRNA from 1 species
GAUGAACGCUAGCUACAGGCUUAACACAUGCAAGUCGAGGGGAAACGAUAUUGGAAGCUUGCUUCCGAUAGGCGUCGACCGGCGCACGGGUGAGUAACGCGUAUCCAACCUGCCCACCACUUGGGGAUAACCUUGCGAAAGUAAGACUAAUACCCAAUGAUAUCUCUAGAAGAAAUCUGAAGGAGAUUAAAGAUUCAUCGGUGAUGGAUGGGGAUGCGUCUGAUUAGCUUGUUGGCGGGGUAACGGCCCACCAAGGCGACGAUCAGGAGGGGUUCUGAGAGGAAGGCCCCCCACAUUGGAACUGAGACACGGUCCAAGCUCCUACGGGAGGCAGCAGUGAGGAAUAUUGGUCAAUGGGCGAGAGCCUGAACCAGCCAAGUAGCGUGCAGGAUGACGGCCCUAUGGGUUGUAAACUGCUUUUAUAAGGGAAUAAAGUGAGUCUCGUGAGACUUUUUGCAUGUACCUUAUGAAUAAGGACCGGCUAAUUCCGUGCCAGCCGCCGCUGUAA